GUGCUUGCUUUAGCAGCACAUAUCCUAAAAUUGGAAUGGUACAGAAAAGAUUAGCAUGGCUCCUGUGCAAGGUUAGCAUGCAAAGUCAUGAAGUGUUCUAUAUUAAA
ensembl:snRNA U6 U6 spliceosomal RNA